GCCUACGUAGGAUUUAUAUAGGCAGAUGGCCCCCAAUUUUUGAAAAAUAAUAAGAUCGAUGACAGUGUUGAAAAUCGACAGUUUUCACUAAAAUAAACUUUCAACUACCGAACUGUGUCGUUUUUAAUAAUAACACAUUCUCAGUAUUGAUGUAAAAUGGAUUUAAAAUACGACCGGUACAGGCAUUUUGCGUUAAAAUUGCUGAAUUCGGCCAUUUCAGACUCAAAAUUCGCUUAUUAGCAACCCUUGCUUCAAGUAACAAUUUAUAACAGCUAUUUCAUUUGUUAAUUCUAUUUAAUAUUUUCCUAACCAGAAACUGAAGCAAGGGUUGCUAAUAAAUGAAUUUUGGAAAAAAUGAUAUUAUUUGUCUGGCCUUUCUCACGUAUAAGAGUGGCCUCCCUUGAAGCCAGGUGCUCGUUGCCAGGCAAUAUUAUAGGUGGCACCGCUGUCAACACGUGCAUGUGAAAACGAAAGUAGAUUGUUUAUCUAGGAAUUAUUACAACAUUUUACCCUUCUACGUUGAAUUUUUAAGAUAUAAAAGUAUGAAUAUUGAGAUGAUUAUUUAGCUACCUUCAACUGGUCAGUGGCCAAAAGGGAGUAUUUCUGUGUGUCUUGAAGCAUUGAAUGCCCCAAAACAACCAGUAUGAUAAGAAGGUAUACUAUCUAGGUUGAAAACAGCCACAGACAAUGAAUUUGGAGGUGCAUGCUAGAGCAUCAGAAAUUACAUACUUUGAAUAAAUAAUUGCACAAUACACAUUUACUGAGAAGUGACUAAUGUUUAUGUUAAAGUGCAAUAUCCAUAUUUGUAACAUUUACUUGUGGGUAAUAGUUACAGUGUUGAAAGAGACUACCAGUGUUACAUUUCAAUCUAAGUUACAGUGUGGAUGCUAAUUCUAAAUUCUUGAUAAUCAAGUGUUUUUAAUAACUUAUGAAUACUAAUUAUUUAUCAAACUGUUAAAUUUAUCACAUUCCUACAUCAUUAUUUUAUAUAAAAUGCUUGUAGUUAUAUAAUAUAUGCCAGGUUAAAUGGUAAUAAAUUUUGUUUCUUUGUAAA